rnacentral:lncRNA from 10 species
GAAUCUGAUUGCGAUACAAGGGAUGAACUAUGGUAGAUCCAAACGCAUCCCCCAUACACAUCCCCAGGUAAGCACUUAUGGUGCCAUCUGUUGGGAGGGCUCUCAAUAGACAGCCUUCAUCUCUGAGUUCCUCAGGGAUUUCCACAGCUGCAGAGAUCUGUGUUGCCUAAGGUCAUGCCCUUCUAGGGGAAGCCUAUAUCUAAUGCCUGUUUCAGGUGUUUAGACCAGAUGUUUUUGCGCAGAUAAAGGAACCUGCACAGGGUCUUGCUUGGGCAUGCCCGCAACAGACUGGAGACCGUCAUGCACUGGAGGAAUGGGAUGGAGGCACCAGGAAUUUGGGCCUUAGGCAGGGAAGGAGCUUGGCCUCUUCAGCUCAUAUAUGGUGGCCUGGUAUUCAAUUUGUGAGGUGGAAGCCUCCUGGUCACGUGUCCGAAAUUGGUGGGUUCUUGGUCUCACUGACUUCAAGAAUGAAGCCGUGGACCCUCAUGGUGAGUGUUACAGUUCUUAAAGAUGGUGUGUCCGCAGUUUGUUCCUUCUGAUGUUCGGACUUGUU